rnacentral:ncRNA from 25 species
AAAAAGUUAAUAAUAUUCACUUAUAUAAAUCUGAUAAUAAGGGUCGGAUGUUUCUACCAAGCUACCGUAAAUUGCUAUAGGACUAUAAGUGUCUACUUAAAAAUU